rnacentral:tRNA from 1 species
GCCUGGGUGGCUUAGUCGGUUAAGCAUCCGAGUUCAGCUCAGGUCGUGAUCUCAUGGUUCGUGAGUUCAAGUCUCACGUCAGGCU